CUUGAACUUUAUAAGAGGUCCAGCCUGCCCAGUGACUCUGUUCAACGGCCGCGGUAUCCUAACCGUGCGAAGGUAGCGUAAUCACUUGUUCUUUAAAUGUGGACUAGUAUGAAUGGCACUACGAGGGUUAUACUGUCUCCUUUUUUUAAUCAGUGAAACUAAUUUUCCCGUGAAGAAGCGGGAAUACAACUAUAAGACGAGAAGACCCUAUGGAGCUUUAAACGACCUAGCAAUUACUUCUAAAAUUAUAAAUUUCAGAAUACUCAUUCUUUAAGCAAUAUGUCUGCAAGUUUUUGGUUGGGGUGACCAUGGAGAAUAACACAACCUCCAUAUUGAAUGAAUUUUUAUUCUAAGCUAAGAAUUACUAAUUAAAGCAUCAACACACUGACAUUUAUUGACCCA
rnacentral:rRNA from 1 species